AAUCUCUGUGUUCAUACUCCACUAUGUUAUCAAAGACGAAAAAUGGUUAAGAGUUGUCCAGAUUGUGUACCUCAGCAUUUGCUGCAUGUUUAUGAAAACUGUCGUCUUUUCACACCAUUGUGCAGAAGAAGAAAACGAUACUCCUGCCCUCCAUGUAUACCUAUUUCUAUGACGGAUUAUUACGAAUCCAUUAAUUCGUGCCUUGAAAAACCUAUUUGUGCAAGAAAUGGUCCUCAAAGACUGAUUUGACGGUUUCUCUUCAAGAUAUGUGCGUGAAAAAGGAUGCAAGAAUGAAUAUACAUUAUACAGUAGAAAGAUAUUUGAAUUGACUGGCAUUGUCAACGAUUUAUUAAGUUUUUGAAAUCUACAAAAUUAAUUAUUAUUUGCAUCUAUGUAAACAAUUUUGAUGGCAAUAAAAUUAUAACGAUUAUUUCUAUGAAAA